rnacentral:rRNA from 1 species
UACGUAGGGACCGAGCGUUGUCCGGAAUUAUUGGGCGUAAAGAGCUCGUAGGCGGCCUGUUGCGUCCGCUGUGAAAGCCCGGGGCUUAACCCCGGGUCUGCAGUGGAUACGGGCAGGCUUGAGUUCGGUAGGGGAGACUGGAAUUCCUGGUGUAGCGGUGAAAUGCGCAGAUAUCAGGAGGAACACCGGUGGCGAAGGCGGGUCUCUGGGCCGAUACUGACGCUGAGGAGCGAAAGCGUGGGGAGCGAACAGG